rnacentral:rRNA from 1 species
GAUGAACGCUAGCGGCAGGCCUAAUACAUGCAAGUCGAGGGAGAAUGUUGGAUUCGUCUGACAUGAAACCGGCGCACGGGUGCGUAACACGUAUGCAACCUACCUUUAACUGGGGUAUAGCUCAGAGAAAUCUGAAUUAAUCCCCCAUAAGACUACGACAUGGCAUCAUGAUGUAGUUAAAGCUCCGGCGGUUAAGGAUGGGCAUGCGGUACAUUAGCUAGUUGGUGAGGUAAUGGCUCACCAAGGCUACAAUGUAUAGGGGGUCUGAGAGGAUGAUCCCCCACACUGGUACUGAGACACGGACCAGACUCCUACGGGAGGCAGCAGUAGGGAAUAUUGGUCAAUGGACGCAAGUCUGAGCCAGCCAUGCCGCGUGAAGGAUGAAGGCCCUAUGGGUCGUAAACUUCUUUUAUUAGGGAAGAAAAAACGGGAUGCGUCCUGUACUGACGGUACUUAAUGAAUAAGGAUCGGCUAACUUCGUGCCAGCCGCCGCGGUAA